UUUGACAUUUUGCUUAUCCAUAAAAAUGUUUUCCGAUACUAAUUAUCUCAAUGCUCGCUGGCUUCUCUCAAAUAUAAUUCUAGAAGAAUCAGCUUUUAUUUCUUUUGUUCCAAGGAUGGAGAAACAUUCCAAGCUUAUAUAUUAGUUCAUCAGCAAGGAAUUAGAAGAUUUUUGGACUUUUUUGUUCCUGCUUGUAUUAGUCCAAUUGGAUACAGAUUAGCCAAGAGCAAGCAGGUGAUCAACAUACCUACUUGAGGACCAUAUGAGGUAGAUUACUGUUGUGGUUCUUAAGGUUUGUUCUUAUGCAAUAAUCCAUGAAUAUUGAGGUUUUCUGUUUUUUUUGGGCUUAUGGAGCAUUUCAGGUAAGAACCAAAAGAGAGAGAGAGAGAGAGAGAUAUUUUGUAGUUUAGCAUAAAAUAUUUUUUAGGUGAUGUAAUAAUGUAUUUGGCAAGUUUCUUGUUGCUCUUAUGGAAGUUGCUGUAAAUAUUUUUUUUUUUUUUGUCAAAGCUGUAAUUCCUUGCUCCUAUGCAUUGUAAGUAUUUUUCUAAUGAGCUAUUUUGUUAUCACGACAUUAUUUUA